rnacentral:lncRNA from 9 species
CCAUGGCUCAAACUUCCUUAAACCACAAGGAAAUGUGUUUUCCUCUAUAACAUGAGGCAAGAGGACUGGGUGAGCUCCAGGCCCAGCCCUCCGUGCUACUGGGUCUGCUUCUCUGGGAUGCUCUUUGUCCUCCAUCCUUUUGUUAACGGCCACGAGAGUUCCAGGAGCCCCAUCCAGAGAUGUCAACAUUCAGGGGACGGGACUCGGUCUGUAUCUCUCUUAGGAGGGGAAGACGCCUUUCUGGGACGCAUUGAAUACUCACUCCUCAAUCAUCAUGGAGAAGAAGACAAGAAUGUCAGGACUUCCUCAGGCUACGAAGGCAAGCAGGCUGCACUCUGGAGAGAAAAGAGGAGCUCGAGACCAUCCUUCCUGGAACAGAGAUGGAGCUGGCGGGAUGGUAAGGGCACUGGAGCAUUAGGAAGAGCACGCGCUGGGCACCAGUAUUCCAAGGUUAGUCCUCUGUUAGUCGCAUGACCCUCUGCCUCUGCCGUCCUUUCCCCUGGCAGAGAGCUAAGUGCUUGGUAAGCAAGAAGACAAAGGGAUCGCCUCAACUUCCUGCCCCUCCACCAACCCUCCCCGGGCUCUAGUGUGCAUGGGCUAAGCUGCUUACCUCAGAGGAUGCACACCCUGACGAGGUGAGGGAUGGGCUAGUGCUCCACUAGCGGACAGUGACUAAGAAGAAAUUUUGAGAGUGGAUGAACAGGACAGGAGGCAGAAUUCCUUUAGGAAGCUUCUUCGGAGUGCCUCCUAAGGGCCCAGUUUUUCCCAGGGGCUCAAAGCUCAGAUGCUGCAUGCACAGCCCUGCAGCCUGGCACAGUCCUCCCCGCUGGGCACAGCUGGACGUCUCUGCAGAGCUGAGCACAGCAGUCCCCUAUGGACCUUUUGCUGACUGAGAUGAUGGGAGACACAGUCGAGCUCUCUCUCUGGGGACUCAGCGACCAAAGCUCAUAAACCUCCAAUGUGAUGUGUCCGCCUUCACCAAUGCCCAGGUGCCCGUGUGUCUGCCGGCCCCAAAUCCCCACAGUCCCCUCCGUGAUAAGACACAGAGACAGACAGUAAAGGAUGGAUUUUACGACAGCAGUUCAAGGACCAGGCUGUCUCCCCAUCUGAGCUGCACCUAACAGGAAGCUCCAGGAGGCCCUCUGACCACAGCCGUCACGGGCCGCUGGGAAGCGGCACAUGUGCCCAGAGGUGCGGAGCCUGGGUGACUUAUUUCUGCCCCUCACCUGGGUUCUGUUGAUCGUCUGGUGAGUGGGUGGCAGAAUCAGAGGCAGAACAUGCCCCCCAAGCCCAGAGGAGCCCUCCUGCCUAUUAGAGGCCAGACUGUAGUGGUUGCUAUUUUGAGAGGCCACACGCUGUGGCCGUGCAGCUUCUGGAAACCAGAUAUGACAGUCUUGGGGGCCCAGGAGUGUUCCUGUGACUGACUCUGGUGGGUGAGGCAGGCUAAAGUCACCUAUGUAACUGAGCAGCAUCCCCAAGUUCAGCUAAAGGACUUCCUUUUCAUUGUCUGGUGGUGGAAACUGAUAAGCUGGGGCUGGAUGUGAAGGUGACCUCUUCCCAGAAGGCCACGUGUCUCUAAUCUUGUCCCACUCCAUUUAAGUGGCUCCAAGGGCCUUGGAACCUUCCUCAGAAUGCUUGGCAGGCUCACCUGGGAAGCCCUGCUUGCUAAUGCCACUUUGCCUUAGUCAAGGACUUCUAAGCUGUAAUAACAGAAACCUAUUCCACCUAACUUAAGUGAAAUAGGCAAAUUUAAUGUAGGGCAGAGAAGUCUUAUGGAAGCGGGGGCAGAGGGAUGUAAAGUUGUUGGGGGGCUGGCGCUGAGACAUGGGACAUCUUCGGGCACUUGGGCAGCCUCCCCCUUUCUCUCUCCUCACCCCGUUACCCCUCACCCCCUGCCACCAAGUCUCUCUCUCUCUCUCUACUCAUGACUCUUCUCUCUGCCCUUUCUUUUCCUGUCUCAUUCUUUCUCUUUUCGCACACUGGCUUCCUCUGAUUCUCCAAACACAUGGCUUGCCUGGCUGCCAGUCCUGUCUGGCAGCUCCGUUCUAAUCUCAUAUUCCCAGGAGAGAGGAUCGAAGUGGCCCAACUUGGGUUCCGUGACUUGCCUUGCCGUGGGAGCAGAGGCUAAGGGGUCUGGAGUGGGAACAGAUUGCUAAGCUGGCCCCUAGGUUUGGCUUCUUCUGGCCAGCCCUGCACCGCUGCCAUCUACAGCCUGUGUCCAAGGAAUAUCUGUGGCCAAGAACAGAGCCCUUUCAAACCAGCUUAUUUAUACAGAGGGUUUAUCAAAAGCUGCCAUAUAAGCUGUCUCAUAAUACCCAAGGCUAGAAAGGGAAUUGACAGAUCAUAGUGAUGGUGCCUAGAAAACCCCUAAAUCUCUCUCCACUGUUACAUAAUGUCUUGCCCCUGCUUCUUUUGGUGCAACUGUCCCAUUUCCUGCUUUUGUUGAAAGACUUCUUUCUCCCUCCUUGGGGCUUCCCUGCACCCAUUACUGAAUGUCAUUUGGGAUGGCUGUGGACCACACUCGUCCAUUUUUCACCAUCAUUGAAUGGACUCAGCCUUUUUAGUUCCUACUCCAAAUUCCUAGGCCACGUGCAAUGGAUUUCUGUCCCUGUAAUAGCCCAGUGUGGUUGGCCAGACUGGGGAGAAGGGGGAUAAAAUCCUAUAGAACCCAGGACUGUCCUUCUCAGCUUUCUUAGAGUCUCAAAGAAAGAAUCCGAGUGGAUAGCAUGUCUACUCUAUCCUGACAGGACACCCACUCACUCAUUUGACAAAUAUUUGUCGAGUGCCUGUUUUAGCCUAAAAGCUGUUCUGGAUGCUAGAGAUAGUAAAGAAAAAAGAUCAGAUCCCGCCUUCAUGGAGUUUAGUGGGAGUGCAUUGAUCAUAU